rnacentral:rRNA from 1 species
GCCAGACUCCUACGGGAGGCAGCAGUGGGGAAUAUUGCACAAUGGGGGAAACCCUGAUGCAGCGACGCCGCGUGGGCGACGAAGCGCUCCGGCGCGUAAAGCCCUGUCAGCAGGGAAGAAAAAAGACAGUACCUGACCGAGAAGCCCCGGCUAACUACGUGCCAGCAGCCGCGGUAAUACGUAGGGGGCAAGCGUUAUCCGGAUUCACUGGGCGUAAAGGGAGCGCAGGCGGCACGGCAAGUCUGGUGUGAAAGCCCGGGGCCCAACCCCGGGACUGCAUUGGAAACUGCCGGGCUGGAGUGCCGGAGGGGCAGGCGGAAUUCCUGGUGUAGCGGUGAAAUGCGCAGAUAUCAGGAAGAACACCGGUGGCGCAGGCGGCCUGCUGGACGGCAACUGACGCUGAGGCUCGAAAGCGUGGGGAGCAAACAGGAUUAGAUACCCGAGUA